UACGUAGGGUGCAAGCGUUGUCCGGAUUUAUUGGGCGUAAAGAGCUCGUAGGCGGUUAGUCACGUCGGAUGUGAAAUCCCGGAGCUUAACUCCGGGCCUGCAUUCGAUACGGGCUGACUCGAGUAUUGUAGGGGAGACUGGAACUCCUGGUGUAGCGGUGAAAUGCGCAGAUAUCAGGAAGAACACCGGUGGCGAAGGCGGGUCUCUGGGCAAUUACUGACGCUGAGGAGCGAAAGCGUGGGGAGCAAACAGGAUUAGAUACCCUGGUAGUCCACGCCGUAAACGGUGGGCGCUAGGUGUGGGGACCCUUCCACGGUCUCCGUGCCGCAGCUAACGCAUUAAGCGCCCCGCCUGGGGAGUACGGCCGCAAGGCUA
rnacentral:rRNA from 1 species